GGAGUUAUUGAUGGAGGGUUAGGGACAAGAAAUAAGCAGAACAGAGAGUCUGAGAGCUAGUGUGAAGGGGAGCGGGGACACAGCCCUGGUCUGGGAGGCAGUGGGAGCUGGGUUCGAAUCUUGCCUCUGACACAGACUAGCUGGGGGACCCUGGACUUGCUGAGUCCCGUUUUCCUCUAAAUGCUCUGGAGGCCCAAAGAUGGAUGCUUGUAGAAGCAGGAAGCACAGGAGAGAGAAAUAAACAGCUGCCACUGCAGACUUCCAGCUUCCAUCCCCUGGGCCCUCAUUGAUUUUCUCCAUCGUUCCAACCGUGAGCGGGAGCCCCAUUAAUCACUGCUCUGCCCAUGAUGGACGGCAGCCAAGCAUGGAUGAGAACACGUUGUUCCAAUGGCCAUGAAGGAGGCCAAAGCAGGUGCUGUGGAGUGCUUAGAGC